AUUGAACGCUGGCGGCAGGCUUAACACAUGCAAGUCGAACGCGUGGCGGACGGGUGAGUAAUGCUUGGGACUCUCGCUUAUGGCGGGGGAUAACUCCGGGAAACUGUAGCUAAUACCGCGUACCAUAGGCUGAGCCCAAGUGGGAUUAGGUAGUUGGUGAGGUAAAGGCUCACCAAGCCGACGAUCUCUAGCUGGUCUGAGAGGAUGACCAGCCACACUGGGACUGAGACACGGCCCAGACUCCUACGGGAGGCAGCAGUGGGGAAUAUUGCGCAAUGGGGGCAACCUGACGCAGCCAUGCCGCGUGAGUGAAGAAGGCCUUCGGUUUGUAAAGUUCUUUCGGUAGCGAGGCGUUAACUACAGAAGAAGCACCGGCUAACUCCGUGCCAGCAGCCGCGGUAAUAC
rnacentral:rRNA from 1 species